UACGGGGGGGGUAAGCGUUGUUCGGAAUUACUGGGCGUAAAGGGCGCGUAGGCGGCCUGCUAAGUCGAACGUGAAAUCCCCGGGCUCAACCCGGGAACUGCGUCCGAUACUGGCAGGCUUGAAUUCGGGAGAGGGAUGCGGAAUUCCAGGUGUAGCGGUGAAAUGCGUAGAUAUCUGGAGGAACACCGGUGGCGAAGGCGGCAUCCUGGACCGAAAUUGACGCUGAGGCGCGAAAGCCAGGGGAGCAAACGGG
rnacentral:rRNA from 1 species